GACGAACGCUGGCGGCGUGCUUAACACAUGCAAGUCGAACGGAAAGGCCCUGCUUUUGUGGGGUGCUCGAGUGGCGAACGGGUGAGUAACACGUGAGUAACCUGCCCUUGACUUUGGGAUAACUUCAGGAAACUGGGGCUAAUACCGGAUAGGAGCUCCUGCUGCAUGGUGGGGGUUGGAAAGUUUCGGCGGUUGGGGAUGGACUCGCGGCUUAUCAGCUUGUUGGUGGGGUAGUGGCUUACCAAGGCUUUGACGGGUAGCCGGCCUGAGAGGGUGACCGGCCACAUUGGGACUGAGAUACGGCCCAGACUCCUACGGGAGGCAGCAGUGGGGAAUAUUGCACAAUGGGCGGAAGCCUGAUGCACCAACGCCGCGUGAGGGAUGACGGCCUUCGGGUUGUAAACCGCUUUCGCCUGUGACGAAUCGUGAGUGACCGUAAUGGGUAAAGAAGCACCGGCUUACUACUUGCCAGCUAUCGCUGUGAUACGUAGGGCGCGAGCCUUGUCCGGGAUUUAUUGGGCUUAAAGGGCUCNAGGUGGUUGAUCGCGUCGGAAGUGUAAUCUUGGGGCUUAACCCUGAGCGUGCUUUCGAUACGGGUUGACUUGAGGAAGGUAGGGGAGAAUGGAAUUCCUGGUGGAGCGGUGGAAUGCGCAGAUAUCAGGAGGAACACCAGUGGCGAAGGCGGUUCUCUGGGCCUUUCCUGACGCUGAGGAGCGAAAGCGUGGGGAGCGAACAGGCUUAGAUACCCUGGUAGUCCACGCUGUAAACGGUGGGUACUAGGUGUGGGGUCCAUUCCACGGGUUCCGUGCCGUAGCUAACGCUUUAAGUACCCCGCCUGGGGAGUACGGCCGCAAGGCUAAAACUCAAAGGAAUUGACGGGGCCCCGCACAAGCGGCGGAGCAUGCGGAUUAAUUCGAUGCAACGCGUAGAACCUUACCUGGGUUUGACAUGGAUCGGGAGUGCUCAGAGAUGGGUGUGCCUCUUUUGGGGUCGGUUCACAGGUGGUGCAUGGCUGUCGUCAGCUCGUGUCGUGAGAUGUUGGGUUAAGUCCCGCAACGAGCGCAACCCUUGUUCACUGUUGCCAGCACGUUAUGGUGGGGACUCAGUGGAGACCGCCGGGGUCAACUCGGAGGAAGGUGGGGAUGACGUCAAGUCAUCAUGCCCCUUAUGUCCAGGGCUUCACGCAUGCUACAAUGGCUGGUACAGAGAGUGGCGAGCCUGUGAGGGUGAGCGAAUCUCGGAAAGCCGGUCUCAGUUCGGAUUGGGGUCUGCAACUCGACCUCAUGAAGUCGGAGUCGCUAGUAAUCGCAGAUCAGCAACGCUGCGGUGAAUACGUUCCCGGG
rnacentral:rRNA from 1 species